CACUCUCACACACAUCUUUACACACGCCCGAGCCACAACAACAGCUGGAAGCCCUAGAGUUUCAGAUCUGAAAACAAAAACUCCCAAAUAUCAAAAUAAAAACUCCCAAAGAAGAGGAUUUCGAAGAGCUGAUUGACCUCUACUGGUUGCUAUACAAUUUCUGGGAUUUUCUGAAUUGAUCAAGUUUUAAAAAUCAUUUUUGUUUUCUGUUGCUGUUCUGGGUUUUCUGUAGCUGAGCUCCACUUCAUAGCUGUUGUUUUUCCUGCCUUUAUUUGGCUUUUUGUAAGACUUUGCACUGCUGCAAGGUUAAUCAGGCAAUUCUGAGUUCAUUUCAGCAGGCAGGGUUGAAUAGAAAUGAGGAUUUGGGAAUAGUCUUAGUCCUAAAAGUUGUUAGAGAUCACAAAUAGUUAUCUUAAUGUAAUAAUGUUGCAUCAAAUUAGAUUUACAUCUUUCGUGUGCUAUUGCUAAGCAGCUUAUGAUGUAAGGAUUAAUUGCAUGUUUGAUCUUGAAGAUGGUAGCCCCCGUUAUUAAUAUUGUUUCGAACA